rnacentral:lncRNA from 1 species
GCAUAUGGAAAAGAGGAACAAUGUGACUGAAUUUAUCCUCCUGUGCCUCAAUCAGAAUCCAGAGGGCCAAAAAGUACUGUUUGUCACAUUCUUGCUCAUCUACACUGUGACAGUAAUGGGCAAUCUGCUCAUCAUGGUGACCAUUAUGGCAAGCCAAUCCCUCCACUCCCCUAUGUAUUAUUUUCUGCCUUAUUUGUCAUGACUGUAGUGUGACUGUAGUUUUAACUUUAAUUACUCCCAUGUUGAACCCCUUAAUCUAUACCUUGAGAAAUGCAGAAAUGAAAAAUGCCAU